UACGUAGGGCGCAAGCGUUGUCCGGAAUCAUUGGGCGUAAAGAGCUCGUAGGCGGCCUGUUGCGUCCGCUGUGAAAACCCAGGGCUUAACCCUGGGCUUGCAGUGGAUACGGGUAGACUAGAGGCAGGUAGGGGAGAAUGGAAUUCCCGGUGUAGCGGUGAAAUGCGCAGAUAUCGGGAGGAACACCGGUGGCGAAGGCGGUUCUCUGGGCCUGACCUGACGCUGAGGAGCGAAAGCGUGGGGAGCGAACAGG
rnacentral:rRNA from 1 species